UGCGUAGUCGGUUUAGCAAGUUUUCUGUGAAAUCCUGCAGCUUAACUGUAGGGAUUGCAGAAAAUACUACUAGACUCGAGGCCGGGUAAGGUAUGGGGUAUUUCAGGGGUAGCGGUGAAAUGCUAUAAUCCCUGGAAGACCACCAGUAGCGAAGGCGCCAUACUGGAACGGGCCUGACGAUGAGGUACGAAAGCGUGGGGAGCGAACAGGAUUAGAUACCCUGGUAGUC
rnacentral:rRNA from 1 species